UAGGAUGCCAGCAUUACCUUGGUUGUCCAUGGGUAUCUUUUAUCCUUCACGAACAGCUCUAAAAAGCAAAGUCCUUAUUUCCAGGGCUGGGCUGUCCUUGUGGUGCUUGUGAUGAGGUGGUGUCCUUUAGUUUGCUUUACUUAAACGUGAACAAUACUAAAGCCUCCAGUAAAAUUCCACUGCCUCAUUACAUUGCAGUGUAUAAUGUGAACUAGUAUAUGUUAACAAAGUUAAUAUGCUUUCAUACUAUAAAGACUGAUUGAUAAAAUAGUUAGGGAAGGAAAUUUUCAUAACAGUUUUGGGUAGAGCCUUGUAAAAUAGAGGUUUCUAAAGAAACAGAAAAAUAAUUCUAGCUAAAAAUAGUCCUGUUUUCCCCUAAAAUUAUUCUCAGUAAUUGUUAAAAGAUUUGAAUCUUUAAGAAACACCUAUUCAUCCUGAGGCAAAGAGCAUGCUUGUGAAAUCUCAUAUCAGAUUCAAUUUAGCCAAAAUUACAAGAGAGUGAGAACAGAGGCUCUGUGUAUAUAAAGUGAGGAAAGAUUUACCAGGGUGUAAAAGGAUCUCAAUCAUUAAAAAAUUAGAUGAAGAACAUGGCUGAAUUUUUCUUUAAUAAAAAACUUCUCAGGUAAUGAAUGCACUGACUCAGAACUGGCAUCUGAAUGGGUUGUAAUAAUGGAAGAACAGCUAUUUCGCCUUUUUCAUGCUUGUCUAGAAAUGAAGAUAAUUGCUUAUGCAGCCAUUAUAAGCUCAUUCAGAAAGUGUGAAUGCUCAUUUCUUUAAGUGACCUCUGAGAAAUGUGGUCAAAGUUCUAUGGCUAUAGUUAGACCAGACAAGCAGAGGGUUCCUUAUGGUAUGGCCCUUGCACUUACUGUUGUUUGAAAAGUAAUCAAAACAUUACCACAUUUCUUAUCACUACUUUCUGUAUUUUGUGUUGGUACAGUAAGGUUAAUGAAAGAAAUUAAAAUAUUCACAUAUUUAGUUCAAUCUUUGGGUUAAAAAUUUCUCCCAUUCAGACAUGUACUAGUCUUUGCACCAUCUGUAUUGAAUUUAGGACUAGAUUCCAAAAACAUUUGAGGCACAACUUAUGCAAAAUUUGAAUUUAUGCAUUUAUUUUAAAGGAGACAGCUUAGCUUAGUGUCACAGAAACACUAGGCCGACAGUGAUAUAUUUCAAAAGUCAAUUUUCUUUAAUGAUAUCAAAAUGCAAUGGUCAAAUUGAACAGGAAUGUUAUGUGAUACUGAGAUAUAACAGCCAGAUUGAACAGGAAUAUUAGGUUGUAAACACUGUGACAAACACAACUUAUUUACAGGUUCAGGAUGUCAGUUGGGAACUAUCACUACACAAACUGUAACCAAAUCUAAGUUUAGAAUGAUGACUCAAAAUGCGCAUAUCACUCACCGAUAAGGCAAGGCACUCAAUCCCGGGAAGUUUCCUUAGACGGUGUCCUGAUCUAAGGGGAGAGUCUGCGACUGCAGACCCGCUGCUCUGAGGAAGGCUGGCUCCAAGGGGUCUUCCGGAGGGCUCCAUUUAUACCCUAGGUCGGAUCAGGACUUGUGGUCAUAUAUGGUCAGGGGUCCAGAGACUUGUCUUGAUGGAAGUGUUUCGUUGGAUGAGGUGCUCCUGGUGGGCUCAGCUAGCUGGGGUAUGUGACUUGUGUCACUCUGUGUAGUGACUCCAGCCGCCACGCAGGCUGUGCGGCUGGAACCCCAAACUGCAGCUUCUAGUUUAACCCUUUCCAUUCAGCAAUCAAGAAGUUUUGGUCUUUAUUGGGGUGAGUGUACCUGCCACACUUAGCUUAAGAUAGGCAGCUCCUGACAGCUUCAAAUAAGUAUUGCGGAAUUUUUAUUAUACCACUUAAAUACACAUUUGUGCUUAAGUAUAAAGUGAUUUAGUGGACAAUGCAUCGGACAGAGUCCUACUGCCGUUAGCGGUUCUACAGGGAGUCUGCAAAAAUGUGGCAUAAGCCGAUUCCUUAUACACACUUGUGCCACCACCAGUCAUGUAAUUACAAAUCAAUACUGUAGCAUUUCUUAUUUUAUCAACAAGGGAAUUUGUUCUCCCUUAUAUAGAGUCGUUCAUCUCUGACAUUCCUGUUUCUAUUGUUUGACAUGGUUCUGGAGUUAGACCUUGUACUGCGGGACAAGGUCAUUCCUCGGUCUCCAAUUAUGAUUGCUGAGCAGUUACAAUUUGAAUUUCCCCUUCGUAAGAUGUCUCAAGUUAAAAUUUUUGCAGCUGUUUUUCUACACUAGAUGGUUACUGCCACCUGCUCAAUGAUUUUAGGCAUUCUGAUUCAUGCUUGAAAGAACGGCUGUCUUGGAUACUCAUCUCAAGCACCUAUCUCUACCCCUUCCCUUUUUGCCUCACGCAUUAUGUAGAGAAAUAUAGAAGUGUGGUGGGUUGACCUUGGCCAACCACCAGAUGUUCACCCAGUUCUUCUUCUCUCACUCCCCUCUCUCAACAGGAGGGGGGAGAAAAUAGGAUGGAAAAGCUUGCGGUCAAGACAAAGACAGAGAGACUGCUUACCAGUUACUGUCACAGGCAAACCAGACUCGACCUGGGGAAAAGUAAUUUAAUUUAUUGCCAAUUAAAAUAGAUUUUGGCAGUGAGAAACAAACAAACAAAAUAUUUAAACCAUACCUUUCCCCCACCCUCUCUUUUCUCAGGUCAACUUCACUCCUUCAUUCUUGAUUCUUCUAUCCCUCCCCAUCCCCUGAGUGGUAC